AUUGAACGCUGGCGGCACGCCUUACACAUGCAAGUCGAACGGUAACGGGCCUUCGGGUGCCGACGAGUGGCGAACGGGUGAGUAAUACAUCGGAACGUGCCCGAUCGUGGGGGAUAACGAGGCGAAAGCUUUGCUAAUACCGCAUACGAUCUACGGAUGAAAGCAGGGGACCGCAAGGCCUUGCGCGGACGGAGCGGCCGAUGUCAGAUUAGGUAGUUGGUGGGAUAAAAGCUUACCAAGCCGACGAUCUGUAGCUGGUCUGAGAGGAUGAUCAGCCACACUGGGACUGAGACACGGCCCAGACUCCUACGGGAGGCAGCAGUGGGGAAUUUUGGACAAUGGGCGCAAGCCUGAUCCAGCCAUGCCGCGUGCAGGAUGAAGGCCUUCGGGUUGUAAACUGCUUUUGUACGGAACGAAAAGCCUUCUUUUAAUACAGGAGGGUCAUGACGGUACCGUAAGAAUAAGCACCGGCUAGCUACGUG
rnacentral:rRNA from 1 species